GACAGAGGGUGCAAACGUUGUUCGGAAUUACUGGGCGUAAAGCGCGUGUAGGCGGCCAACUAAGUCGGGCGUGAAAUCCCACGGCUCAACCGUGGAAGUGCACUCGAAACUGGAUGGCUAGAGUCCUGGAGAGGAAGGUGGAGUGCUUGGUGUAGAGGUGAAAUUCGUAGAUAUUCGCAAGAACACCAGUGGCGAAGGCGGCUCACUGGCUCGGUACUGACGCUGAGGUGCGAAAGCGUGGGGAGCAAACAGG
rnacentral:rRNA from 1 species